CACUUUACGGCCACGUAAAGUGUCGAACGCCCGCUGGCAGGAGGAUAUGGGACAUAGCAAGGUGCCACGGGCCGACUGACCGAGAUGACGCACGCUCAGGUUGCAGCUGCUGUCAUUUUCAUUGGCUCCCCAUAACUACUGCAUGAACUAUGACGUCACAAUGGAUGGCCACUCUCGUCAUGGCCGCCAUCUUAGGCAUUUCACUAGUGCCUGUUGUGGCUAAAAAGAAGGAGUCGACUAACUGGUGGAAUUUCGGCGAGAGAAGGAGUCGACUAACUGGUGGAAUUUCGGUGCAGAGAAGGAGUCGACCAACUGGUGGAAUUUCGGCGCAGGUAAAUGAUGACAUCACCACGCCUCCACGUGAUCGCUUGUGUGGUGACGCUGCGAUAACGCUGCUUGAUCGUGAUGCUGUGUGAUGGUGAUGUUGUGUGAUAGUGUAUGAUAAUGGUACUGU